rnacentral:rRNA from 1 species
GUGGGGAAUCUUGCGCAAUGCGCGAAAGCGUGACGCAGCAACGCCGCGUGAGGGAAGACGGCCUUCGGGUUGUAAACCUCUUUCAGGAGGGACGAAGUGCCGGCCGUUAAUAGCGGACCGACAUGACGGUACCUCCACAAGAAGCCCCGGCUAACUACGUGCCAGCAGCCGCGGUAAUACGUAGGGGGCAAGCGUUGUCCGGAAUCAUUGGGCGUAAAGAGCGCGUAGGCGGUCCGGUAAGUCCGCUCUGAAAGUCCGGGGCUCAACCCCGGGAGGCGGGUGGAUACUGUCGGACUAGAGUCCGGAAGAGGCGAGUGGAAUUCCUGGUGUAGCGGCGAAAUGCGCAGAUAUCAGGAGGAACACCGAUGGCGAAGGCAGCUCGCUGGGACGGUACUGACGCUGAGGCGCGAAAGCGUGGGGAGCAAACAGGAUUAGAUACCCUGGUAGUCCACGCCGUAAACGAUGGGCACUAGGUGUGGGAGGUGUCGACUCCUCCCGUGCCGGAGCUAACGCAUUAAGUGCCCCGCCUGGGGAGUACGGCCGCAAGGC